rnacentral:lncRNA from 1 species
AUAUAGGCACCCCCAAAGCCAGAUCAUUCGACAUUGUGCAAAACAGUCCAUAAACACCGGCCCUUCCUAUGUCCCUUGUAAACAGUAACGUUACAAUCGUCACUCCAACAAAAACAAUACAUUUCGACAGGGUCACAACAAGCACAAACAUCCAUUUUACUUUAGAAAAGUCGAUGGUGGCAAUCGCCCGGAAUAUAAAAGCGGGCAAUGUGGGAUAAAUGGCGAAUUUACUAAUUCCUUUGGCUUCUGUUGCAGAUAUUACGCCCAAGCGUCCUGUAAUAUAACCCAAAAUGAUCACAGCAAAUACACGAAUCAACGCCGGGUACAGAUCGUCGAAAGUGUCAUGGCUCACACUGCUUGAGGAAGUGUUGCCAGCAGAGUUUGAAGAGUUUCCGUACUGCAAUAUUUCCAUUACAUUAUACUCUUACAGGUAUAAAUACGAUUGGAAACUUCGUUCUGGUCCUCCUGGACAGCUAUUAAAAUGUAAACUGAUUCAACUUGUUAUUAAACACCACUGAUUAAAAGUAAACACAAAUCACA